rnacentral:rRNA from 1 species
UACGUAUGGUGCAAGCGUUAUCCGGAUUUACUGGGUGUAAAGGGAGCGCAGGCGGCACGGCAAGCCUGAUGUGAAAGCCCGCGGCCCAACCGCGGGACUGCAUUGGGAACUACCGGGCCGGAGUGCCGGAGAGGUAGGCGGAAUUCCUAGUGUAGCGGUGAAAUGCGUAGAUAUUAGGAGGAACACCAGUGGCGAAGGCGGCCUACUGGACGGUGACUGACGCUGAGGCUCGAAAGCGUGGGGAGCAAACAGG